rnacentral:lncRNA from 1 species
CUGUAUGGGAAGUGAUCUGAAAUGUUGGAGAGUGCAAAGGGACCUUUGUCCUAGGAACAGCAGAGACCUGGCACCUUCUGACAACAGGGUCCCACUUGGAGAAGGCCUGUAGGCACACAGUUUGUGGGAAUUGGGAGUGGGGCUGCAGCUGAGCCUCAUCCCCAAUGGGCUGCAGCUGUGCCAAGCAGGUGAGCAGCAUUGAAGGUAACGAGGCAGGGAGUGCCCAGGUGUGCUGACCAGGCACCAAAGGGAACAGAGGGCACACGGGUGCAGUGCAUAAACGUGAGGGUAUAAAGGGUUGGGGUAAAGAACAAGAAGGGUAAAGCUUGCAGCCUUCUGAAGUGGUGUGAUGUUACUCUGUAUGGAUUGAAGCUUUCUGAAAUUGUAUGGUGACACUUUGUGUAUGAUGGCCAUCUCAGCUGUGACAAAGGUCCUGGUUCCUGUUCCUUCCCUCAUUGUGACUGAAGCUCUGGCCCACUCCAUGCUGGGUUGCCCAGGUGAGAGGGGAUGAGGAAUCUGGUAUAAAUCAUCCUUGUUUUUUUUCCUGAUUUCCCAUGGCUGGAUGUGUGGAAUCAGACCAUUAGGUGGUGGUGGCCUGUUGUGUUCAGCCAGCACUUGAGCAGGCAGAGCCUGAUGCAGUGCUCACAAGGAGCAGCCCCUCCUGACAGCCAAGCUUGCUGUGCUGCUCCCUUUGGACAGCUCUUCUCAGGCAUCCAAGCAUUCUUCUAAGUACAGUGGAAAAGGGAUUCUUUGAGAAGACUUCCCUGGGCUGUGAUUCUCUGGAGGAGUGUUGUUGGCACUGUUUUCCACACUGGUACCAGCAGACGUCCAGUUGGCAUCCCUCACAUGGCUGGAGAACAUUGAGAGCCAGGACUGGUCUCAGGGAGAGAAACUGAGCUGCUGGUGUGGGU